AUUGAACGCUGGCGGCGGGCUUAACACAUGCAAGUCGAGCGGGGAAAAGUAGCUUGCUACUGGACCUAGCGGCGGACGGGUGAGUAAUGCUUAGGAAUCUGCCUAAUAGUGGGGGACAACGUUCCGAAAGGGACGCUAAUACCGCAUACGUCCUACGGGAGAAAGCAAGGGAUCUUCGGACCUUGCGGCAAUAGAUGGGCCGAAGUCGGAUGAGCUAGUUGGUGGGGUAAAGGCCUACCAAGGCGACGAUCUGUAGCGGGUCGGAGAGGAUGAUCCGCCACACUGGGACUGAGACACGGCCCAGACUCCUACGGGAGGCAGCAGUGGGGAAUAUUGGACAAUGGGGGGAACCCUGAUCCAGCCAUGCCGCGUGUGUGAAGAAGGCCUUUUGGUUGUAAAGCACUUUAAGCGAGGAGGAGGCUACCGAGAUUAAUACUCUUGGAUAGUGGACGUUACUCGCAGAAUAAGCACCGGCUAACUCUGUGCCAGCCGCCGCCGUAAUAC
rnacentral:rRNA from 1 species